UAGGGAAUAUUGGGCAAUGGACGCAAGUCUGACCCAGCCAUGCCGCGUGCAGGAUGACUGCCCUAUGGGUUGUAAACUGCUUUUGUCAGGGAAAAAACCCUCGUUCGUGAACGAGGCUGAUGGUACCUGAAGAAUAAGGAUCGGCUAACUCCGUGCCAGCAGCCGCGGUAAUACGGAGGAUCCAAGCGUUGUCCGGAUUUAUUGGGUUUAAAGGGUGCGUAGGUGGAUAAUUAAGUCAGGGGUGAAAGCCUGCAGCUCAACUGUAGAACUGCCCUUGAAACUGAUUAUCUUGAAUGUGGUUGAGGUAGGCGGAAUGUGUCAUGUAGCGGUGAAAUGCUUAGAUAUGAUACAGAACACCAAUUGCGAAGGCAGCUUACUAAGCCAUUAUUGACACUGAGGCACGAAAGCAUGGGGAGCAAACAGG
rnacentral:rRNA from 1 species